UUUUUUUUUUUUUUAAAGAGGGGGUGGGCAGAGGGAGAGGGAGGGAGAAUCUUAAGCAGGCUCCAAACUUAGUGCUGAGCCCAGCCCAAUGCUGGGCUUGAUCCCAGCACCCUGAGAUCAUGACCUGAGCCAGGAUCGAGAGUCCUAUUCUUAACCGACUGAGCCACCCAGGCGCCCCUCAUUUAGGAAGACUUUUUAGUAUUUUUUUCCCUUCUUAUCUGCAAGAUAUGUUGCUAUUUUACUCAAAGUGGGAAGAGUUGAUUUGGAUGACCCCUGUUGGUGCUGUUUUUUUGUCUUGGUGGAUCUUGGUGAUUUCUGUUAAAGCUUAAUACUGCAUUUCUUCAUCUAAGGAUUCAUGAAAAGGAUGGAAAGAUCAAGUCUGUGGAAGAGCUUCUGGAAGCAGAAGUUCUCAAAGUUGCUAACAAGGAGAAAACUAUUCAGGUAUUGGGAGAGAGAAAGCUGUGUGUUGGGUUUUUUUUUUUUCUUUUGUGUUUAUCAACUUUAGUGAAUAUCAUUUAAUUUCAUGUGUUUGUCUGUACAUUGCAUUUUAUGUCAAUUUCUGUGUUUCCAUUGUCCAAUCUUGUCUGUUUUGUCAUUGUCAAGGAUUUGAAACAGGAAAUAGAGGCUCUUAAAGAAGAAAUAGGAAAUAUCCAGCUUGAAAAGGCUCAACAGUUAUCUAUCACUUCUCAAAUCCAGGAGCUUCAGAACUUGUAAGUACCAUUUCUCUCAUUUCCCUUUAAUCUCUCUUUUCCACAAGUUAAAUACAAGUAUGUACAAGUCAAAUACAAAUCAAAUACAGUUAUAAUGAAAAUCAUAGCUUUUUAAAAUUUAAUUUCAAGUAGUAUUUUUAGGAAUAUGAAAUUAUAUCUCAAAAAGUUAUUAUGGUUUUAGGUUUUUCAUUAGGAUUUAACUUAAGCUUUUUGACAGGAAUGGGGAUAGAGUGGAAAGUCUUAUUUUUCAUAAUUUAUAAUCUGAAUAUGAUCUUGGAUUGAGAUGUUGCUCUUUGCAAAUUUUAAUAGUCACAGUGAAACUAAUUUAUCUAUUUCAUAGCCAAACCCGUGGUAAUAAGCUGUCUAAAUUUGCUGGUAUUGAUUUAAACAAGAUGGUAUGGGGUGAGAGUACGGCUACCCUAAUUUAUUUAGAUCCAGAUCUGCAGUGAUAGAUGGAACUUUUUUCUUUAAUUGUUCUAUACCUUUUUUUUUUUCUUUUGUAAGAUUUCAUUUGAUAAAGAGCACACAGAGAGAAAGAGAGAGAGAAAACACAAGAUGAGCAUGGGGUGGGGGCAGAGGAAGAGAUAGAAGUAGAUUCCCCACUGAGCGGGGAACUUGAUGUGGGGCUCGAUCCCAGGACCCAUGAUCCCAAUCAUGACCUGAGCUGAAGGC
rnacentral:lncRNA from 1 species